GGACGACCCCGAGCCCGGGAACGUGGCACGUGGGACCCCGCGACUCACCGAAGACGGGAGACCUGGCGGCACCUUCCGGACCUUCUUGGGCUGUGUGUCUGUCAGGAGCAAGGGGAAUCAGGGGUCCUCAGGGCGCCUCCUGCCCCCACCACGUGCCCAGGUACCCGGCUUCGGCUUUGUUUUGCGUGUGUUAAUUUGAAACAGACUUCCUUUCCUCAAGGGCAGAAACGACCAGGGUUCCAGCUGGUUCUGCAGCUCAGGUGAGCGGCCGCUCCACGCCUCACCCUUCCUGUCUAUACGGCGGGCACUCUGGCUGCGCCCACAGCGCACGGGGCCCAGCAGCCGGCUGGCCCUCAACAGCUGCACCCGCUACGGCUCCUGAGGGGACACGGCACGCGGACAGGUGGCACCAACCGGGACAAGGCCCGGCCGCACCGAGCUGGAAGAGUCCCAAGCCGGGGGCCACACUGGGACACGGGGGCUGGUCACUGCCGCCCUGCCUCUCAGCUAGACUAACUACGCCAGGUCGGGGAGCCACGGGACAGGGGCCGCGGCCUCCCCGGCACCCCCUCGCCCGGUCCACACCCAGCCUGCCGGCCUCCCGGGGUCUGGCCGUACUGCAGCCGACUGGCUCUUGGCUCCACCAGGGAACCUCUUGCAG